rnacentral:rRNA from 1 species
UAAUACGUAGGGGGCAAGCGUUGUCCGGAUUUAUUGGGCGUAAAGCGCGUGUAGGCGGCCAGGUAGGUCGGUUGUGAAAAUUGGAGGCUCAACCUCCAGACGUCGAUCGAAACCAUCUGGCUAGAGUCCGGAAGAGGAGAAUGGAAUUCCUGGUGUAGCGGUGAAAUGCGCAGAUAUCAGGAAGAACACCAAUGGCGAAGGCAGUUCUCUGGGACGGUACUGACGCUGAGACGCGAAAGCGUGGGGAGCGAACAGGAUUAGAUACCCUGGUAGUCCACGCCGUAAACGAUGGGUGCUAGGUGUGGGAGGUGUCGACUCCUCCCGUGCCGCAGCUAACGCAUUAAGCACCCCGCCUGGGGAGUACGGCCGCAAGGCUA